GAUUGAAAAAUUCAUCUAUUUUUAUUAUUAAAAACUGAUAUGGCUGACAAAAUAACUAAACAGUGACACGUGGUGUGUCACAUGUACCUCAUGUUAAUGUAUAAAAACUAAUUUUUAAUAGUAAAAACAAAUGGUUUUUUUAAUA
rnacentral:pre_miRNA from 1 species